UACGUAGGGGGCAAGCGUUGUCCGGAAUAAUUGGGCGUAAAGGGCGCGUAGGCGGCAAGGCAAGUCAGUAGUGGAAGUCCCAUUUUCAAGGUGGGGAGGGCUGUUGAAACUGCGUUGCUUGAGUGCAGGAGAGGUUAUCGGAAUUCCCGGUGUAGCGGUGAAAUGCGUAGAGAUCGGGAGGAACACCAGUGGCGAAGGCGGGUAACUGGACUGCAACUGACGCUGAGGCGCGAAAGUGUGGGGAGCAAACAGGAUUAGAUACCCGCGUAGUCCCUGA
rnacentral:rRNA from 1 species